rnacentral:rRNA from 1 species
GACGAACGCUGGCGGCGUGCCUAAUACAUGCAAGUUGAGCGCUGAAGGUUGGUACUUGUACCAACUGGAUGAGCAGCGAACGGGUGAGUAACGCGUGGGGAAUCUGCCUUUGAGCGGGGGACAACAUUUGGAAACGAAUGCUAUUACCGCAUAAAAACUUUAAACACAAGUUUUAAGUUUGAAAGAUGCAAUUGCAUCACUCAAAGAUGAUCCCGCGUUGUAUUAGCUAGUUGGUGAGGUAAAGGCUCACCAAGGCGAUGAUACAUAGCCGACCUGAGAGGGUGAUCGGCCACAUUGGGACUGAGACACGGCCCAAACUCCUACGGGAGGCAGCAGUAGGGAAUCUUCGGCAAUGGACGAAAGUCUGACCGAGCAACGCCGCGUGAGUGAAGAAGGUUUUCGGAUCGUAAAACUCUGUUGGUAGAGAAGAACGUUGGUGAGAGUGGAAAGCUCAUCAAGUGACGGUAACUACCCAGAAAGGGACGGCUAACUACGUG